CCUACGGGAGGCAGCAGUGAGGAAUAUUGGUCAAUGGGCUUACGCCUGAACCAGCCAAGUCGCGUGAGGGAAGACUGCCCUAUGGGUUGUAAACCUCUUUUGUCAGGGAGCAACGCCGGCUACGUGUAGCCGGACUGAGAGUACCUGAAGAAUAAGCAUCGGCUCACUCCGUGCCAGCAGCCGAGGUAAUACCGGGGAUGCGAGCGUUAUCCGGAUCUAUGGGGUCUAAAGGGUGCGUAGGCGGAAUGCCAAGUCAGCGGUAAAAUCGCGGGGCUCAACCUCGCUCCGCCGUUGAAACUGGCGGUCUUGAGUGGACGAGAAGUAUGCGGAAUGCGUGGUGUAGCGGUGAAAUGCAUAGAUAUCACGCAGAACUCCGAUUGCGAAGGCAGCAUACCGGCGCCCAACUGACGCUGAGGCACGAAAGCGUGGGUAUCGAACAGGAUUAGAUACCCGGGUAGUC
rnacentral:rRNA from 1 species